GCUGGCGGCAGGCUUAACACAUGCAAGUCGAGCGGGGAAAGGUAGCUUGCUACUCUACCUAGCGGCGGACGGGUGAGUAAUGCUUAGGAAUCUGCCUAUUAGUGGGGGACAACAUCUCGAAAGGGAUGCUAAUACCGCAUACGUCCUACGGGAGAAAGCAGGGGACCUUCGGGCCUUGCGCUAAUAGAUGAGCCUAAGUCGGAUUAGCUAGUUGGUGGGGUAAAGGCCUACCAAGGCGACGAUCUGUAGCGGGUCUGAGAGGAUGAUCCGCCACACUGGGACUGAGACACGGCCCAGACUCCUACGGGAGGCAGCAGUGGGGAAUAUUGGACAAUGGGGGGAACCCUGAUCCAGCCAUGCCGCGUGUGUGAAGAAGGCCUUUUGGUUGUAAAGCACUUUAAGCGAGGAGGAGGCUACCGAGAUUAAUACUCUUGGAUAGUGGACGUUACUCGCAGAAUAAGCACCGGCUAACUCUGUGCCAGCGGCCGCGGUAAUACAGAGGGUGCAAGCGUUAAUCGGAUUUACUGGGCGUAAAGCGCGCGUAGGUGGCCAAUUAAGUCAAAUGUGAAAUCCCCGAGCUUAACUUGGGAAUUGCAUUCGAUACUGGUUGGCUAGAGUAUGGGAGAGGAUGGUAGAAUUCCAGGUGUAGCGGUGAAAUGCGUAGAGAUCUGGAGGAAUACCGAUGGCGAAGGCAGCCAUCUGGCCUAAUACUGACACUGAGGUGCGAAAGCAUGGGGAGCAAACAGGAUUAGAUACCCUGGUAGUCC
rnacentral:rRNA from 1 species